AUUUGAUGAUAUGGACAUUGUAUUUGUAACUCCCCAAAUCUUUCCCAAGCUUCGAAGAAUUCCCUCGUGCUUUUGUCUAAAAGUUGGAUAUUAUUUCUUAACU
rnacentral:snoRNA from 1 species